UCACCAUCUCCUACAUGAUAAUAAUAACAAAAAAAGAAAAAAUUAAAUUGCAAGCCAACAUAAAUAUAUUUAUGUUAGUCAGACUUCUAUGUAAAAAUCUGAUGAUAGAAAUUACAUUCUUAUUAUGAACUUCUGAUGUUUUGCAGGAAUUCAAAAGAUAUACUAAUAAGGAAAGCCAAUAUUUCAUCUUGAUAUGAGAUAAAAACAGACAAUAAACAUUAAUCCAUAGCAUAAGACAACCUAAAUUUUUAGUUUUCAUCCACUCCCACCUAUCAAUCUCGUCAAAUUAACACUCUUAACAAAGGAUCCAACAACAUGAUAAACUCAUGCACAGUUAAUACUAAUUUCAAAAUUUACAAGUCCACCAAUUUCUCCUCAUGAUAUGAAUUGCAAGUAAAUUAAGACUCAUCUUUCCUUUCAGCAAAUGGCAGCAAACAAGAUCAUCCAAGCAAGUCAACCAAUGGUUGCACUCUCAGAAUCAAAAUCCACCUUACAGGAAACUAAAGAAAGGAUCAAGGUUGACAUCAUAUUGACAAUCCUUAUCAAGCUAGACCUCUACAGGUUUGAUGGAAACCAAGCUUGGUUGAAAGGCCACAUUAAAUUGCUUGCCACCCAAAUCAAUCCACGUACGUCUUUCAAGGUCCUCAUGUAAUGCAGUUUAGCUGCUCCAAAAUUCCUCCAUUAUUUCAUCAUGCAAGACUGGUUUUGUUCUU
rnacentral:misc_RNA from 1 species